GCCUGGGUGGUUCAGUUGAGCAUCCGACUUUAGCUCGGGUCAUGAUCUCACAGUUCGUGGGUUCGAGCCCCACAUCAGGCU
rnacentral:tRNA from 1 species